UACGAGGGGGGCGAGCGUUGUUCGGAAUUAUUGGGCGUAAAGGGUGCGUAGGCGGUUUGGUAAGUCUUGUGUGAAAUCUCCAGGCCUACAAUCGUUGGAGUCUGCACGAGAAACUGCCGGGCUUGAGUGUGGGAGAGGUGAGUGGAAUUCCUGGUGUAGCGGUGAAAUGCGUAGAUAUCAGGAGGAACACCAGUGGCGAAGGCGGCUCACUGGCCCGGUACUGACGCUGAGGCACGAAAGCGUGGGGAGCAAACAGG
rnacentral:rRNA from 1 species